UACGUAGGGGCCUAGCGUUGUCCGGAAUUAUUGGGCGUAAAGAGCUCGUAGGCGGUUUGUCGCGUCUGCUGUGAAAACUGGAGGCUCAACCUCCAGCCUGCAGUGGGUACGGGCAAACUAGAGUGCGGUAGGGGAGAUUGGAAUUCCUGGUGUAGCGGUGGAAUGCGCAGAUAUCAGGAGGAACACCGAUGGCGAAGGCAGAUCUCUGGGCCGUAACUGACGCUGAGGAGCGAAAGCAUGGGGAGCGAACAGG
rnacentral:rRNA from 1 species